AGAGUUUGAUUCUGGCUCAGAUUGAACGCUGGCGGCGUGCUUAACACAUGCAAGUCGAACGUGAAAGUCCUUCGGGGCGAGUAAAGUGGCGCACGGGUGAGUAACGCGUGGAUAAUCUACCCUUAAGAUGGGGAUAACGGCUGGAAACGGUCGCUAAUACCGAAUACGCUCCCGAUUUUAUCAUUGGGGGGAAAGAUGGCCUCUGCUUGCAAGUUAUCGCUUAAGGAUGAGUCCGCGUCCCAUUAGCUAGUUGGCGGGGUAACGGCCCACCAAGGCAACGAUGGGUAGCCGGUCUGAGAGGAUGACCGGCCACACUGGAACUGGAACACGGUCCAGACUCCUACGGGAGGCAGCAGUGGGGAAUAUUGCGCAAUGGGCGAAAGCCUGACGCAGCGACGCCGCGUGAGGGAUGAAGGUUCUCGGAUCGUAAACCUCUGUCAGGGGGGAAGAAACCCCCUCGUGUGAAUAAUGCGAGGGCUUGACGGUACCCCCAAAGGAAGCACCGGCUAACUCCGUGCCAGCAGCCGCGGUAAUACGGAGGGUGCAAGCGUUAAUCGGAAUCACUGGGCGUAAAGCGCACGUAGGCGGCUUGGUAAGUCAGGGGUGAAAUCCCACAGCCCAACUGUGGAACUGCCUUUGAUACUGCCAGGCUUGAGUACCGGAGAGGGUGGCGGAAUUCCAGGUGUAGGAGUGAAAUCCGUAGAUAUCUGGAGGAACACCGGUGGCGAAGGCGGCCACCUGGACGGUAACUGACGCUGAGGUGCGAAAGCGUGGGUAGCAAACAGGAUUAGAUACCCUGGUAGUCCACGCUGUAAACGAUGGGUGCUGGGUGCUGGGAUGUAUGUCUCGGUGCCGUAGCUAACGCGAUAAGCACCCCGCCUGGGGAGUACGGUCGCAAGGCUGAAACUCAAAGAAAUUGACGGGGGCCCGCACAAGCGGUGGAGUAUGUGGUUUAAUUCGAAGCAACGC
rnacentral:rRNA from 1 species